AUUUCAUGCUGUAUAUAUUUAGAAGUUAAGAUCUUUUAAUUGAUAUCUAUCCUGUUUCUUGGUAUACUCAAGCUUUUCAGGUCUUUCAUUUCCCAAAUUUUUCUUAUGUCUUUUUACUUGCUAACAAAACUGUUCUCUUUUGCAGGUGUCAUGCAAACAUAGGCUCAGAGAAGGUAAUCCAUAUAGCCAUUUCAGGAAGCAAGGACCAGGAAUGGAAGUGAGGGCUCCAAAACUUAUGGCUGGGUGUCCAUAUGAGGUGGCUCCAUAACCCUACAGUUGACCCAGUGCCUCUAAUGGUCUCUUUCACUGACUGGCCACCCUCUCUGGAACACUCAGUACUAGCAGUGACUUCAGUCAGUCUGGAAUCCUUGAACCCAUGGAAAACUGUGUUUAUUCAAGUUUGGAUCAUACUAACGUUGUGAUGCAUGUCACCUUCCUGCAAGGCAACCAGUUUGCAGAUUUGGCCAGAGGGAAAAUUACUGGACAACAAAAUGAAAAGGAGGCAUAAGUCAGCCCAGAUCUCUGAACCCUAGGAAAGGCAACUUCCCUCCCGCUCAUGAAAGAGGACGAUUGUGCUCAGUACCACUUAUCUGGUGCCAACAAUCUGUGAUUCUGAGAUGCCAGAUUACAAUCCCAAGUGAGUGAAGAAAGUCUCCCCACCCCCACCAGGGACCACUCUAACUAGAGCAAAUUCAAAGCAGAUACUUCAGGCAGUAGAUCCUGGCUUUAUCCAACUUCAGGAGCUGAGGCAAGCCCACCAACCAAAACAAGAAAUGGCUGUUCCAGGAAGAAGCAAGACACAGGGCCUCAACUCGCACAAAGACAGAGCACAAACGCACAGAAAAUCACCACCAAAGGGAUCGGGAAAUACCCAGAU